rnacentral:rRNA from 1 species
CGACCGGCAAACGGGUGCGGAACACGUACACAACCUUCCUUUAAGUGGGGGAUAGCCCAGAGAAAUUUGGAUUAAUACCCCGUAACAUUAUUUAGUGGCAUCAUUAGGUAAUUAAAGCUCCGGCGCUUGAAGAUGGGUGUGCGUCUGAUUAGGUAGUUGGUAGGGGUAACGGCCCACCAAGCCAACGAUCAGUAACUGGUGUGAGAGCACGACCAGUCACACGGGCACUGAGACACGGGCCCG